CGCGGGGGAAUCGCAGUGAGCAGCGCGGGGCGAGGCCGCCGCGGACGCCCCGUCGGAUGUGCCCUUCGCUGGGCCGAGCGGCGCAGGGUUGGAGAGGGAAGCGCUCGUGCCCACCUUGCUCGCAGGUGCCCUUGCUGACCUGGGUGAUGGCCUUCUCCCCGCGGCUCUCGGCCCUCUGGCUGGCGGCGCGCAGCUGGCAGCCGCUCGGGGGACUGUUCUAAGAACUUAUAAGAGUUAAGAAAAAAAAUUAUCUUCAAACAUCAUUACCUCUGGAAAGCUCUUCCUGACCCACAAACUAGGUUGGGUUCAUGUGCUACAAGCUCUCACAGGACCAUGUUUCCUUCAUUAGGGCAUUUAUUGUGGAAAUGGAUGUGGACGCGGUGCUGCUGCCUGAGAUUAGCAGGAAGCAAUUCUUUUCCCAUUUGGAGAGACCCCGGCUUUGUUGGGCCAGGAGAUGGUUUUGCAGCAGCAGAAGACUAUGAACUGGGCUUUGGGAGAUAGGAUCUCUGGUUGUAUUCUGGCUAUCCACACUCUGAAAGAGGACCGUGACAGAGAAUUUGAGUAUCCUACCAAUAUACCUACAAAAGGAUGAAAGAAGAUUUGGAGUCAAGGGAAAACAAGGGCAAUAAAAUAGAAGCUUACCACCUGCUCUCAUACAGUUGCUAGAAGAGGACUGCAUAUUUGGUUCUAAGUUUCUGGAAGAUAAAGCCAAAAUAGAAACACAACUCAUUAUAAAAUUUUGGUGUAUCCAUAAAAUAAAAACAAAUGACCUGUUUG
rnacentral:lncRNA from 1 species